UAUUAUAUUUGCACUUAUAUCCAAUUAAAUAUAUUUGCUUAUCAUUUUAAAACGUACUAAAUGCAUCAGCAUUAUAACAUGGACAUUUCCUGAGUAUAGAAAAUAUCGAUAAAUUAAAAUUGUUUGAAUUUAUUUUUCAAUUUCAGUUUCUUGCCAUUUUGUCAAAUGUGCUACUAAAAUGAAAAGUUUUAGAUAUGUUGAAGAGAAAACAGUAUAUUCUUAUGUUUCAGGUGGUUACAUGUUGGGGUUGGUAUCACGAUGAGUAUAAUGAAGAAGGUGAUUUUAAGAUCUCCAGAGAAGUACGGUAUUAUUGGUUAUAUUCUUCUUACGUUUAAUUCAAGCACCAUGAGGCAUUAAUCGGUGUACCAAUAAUGACAGAGUUUCAAAGAGACACAUAUCCAAGGAAUUGAGAUGGGAUUCAAGAUAUUUCAGAGGAAUGUGUAUUUUGUGCUAUUUUGAUAUUGGAUGAUGAAUAUACUUCUAUGUAUAACUGUGUCGAAUUCAUUUGAUAUAUUUGAAGUCUUCUUCCCUGGGACUUCACGAUAAAUCGCAUGGUAUGCGUUGAAUUUGACUUGAAACUAUACUCAAAACUCAAGUGCAGCAAGCAUUCAUCGAUGUAUGGAUAGGAUGUGUGCAUAACAUUAAGACUUUUACAAUCAGACUCACAUGGUGAAUUGCGUUAUGGAUUUUCAAAAGACGGCGGUGUAUUGAAUUUUUUUAGGAUGGAUAUACAUGUAUUGAUAUUUUCCCGCGUUUCGCUAGUAUAGCGGGAAAAUGUUGUAUUAAUGACAAGAUGUUUAUAAGCAUGUUGUGUGGAUUGGUCAGUACAGAGAGUGACCAAUAGAAAUUGAUUUUGAGGUGUAGUAGAGAACUGGUUUUUAAAGGUUGGUCACUUCUAGCCGCCGACUUAAGCGAGCAACAGCUAUUUUUUUUUAAAUUUAUGUGUAAAGGGUAUAAGUGAAUAUAUUUAUAUACAUAUAUUUGAUUUUUUUUCUUAGGGUUUUAUUGGUAGGUUGUGAGGUCCGUCGCAACAUUUUUUGCAUCCAGCGGCACUUGGCAACGGACACAGGUUUCUAGAGUUUUUUAAAAAUUAUUUUUAUCUCUAGUUUUUCCUGGCCGGCCCUGAUGCUUUUCAUGUUUAUCACAAAGAAUAUUUUACAAUUAUAAUAGAUGCAGCAGUUUUGGGGGAUUUUGAUGUUUUUAUUUCUCAUACACAAUGUCCUGUGUUCUAUAUAUGUAUAUUGAUGUACUGUUAAUAAAAUACGGCGUCCAGCGCACGCACGGCUGGCUGUCAUGCAUCGAAUGUUGUUGUUUGUUUGUAUAAAAGUAAUGGAGUGAAUACAUGUAUUUUUUUUUUUGUAGUGAUUAAUUGUUUUCAAAACAUUUUAUUGGAAAAUUUCCGUAAAAUUUUAUGUAUUUAUUGUUUGAAAUAUUGAAUGAUUUAUGAUUUAAAUGAAUUUUGUUGGAUUUAAUUUAAAAUCAAUUAUUUUAUACUUACAUUUUCCCGUUCUUUGUAUUUAGAGCUACUGCGUGUCGUUGCUAUGUCCAAAUGGUGUGUUUGUUGUUUAUUGUACUUUCAUUUGAAAGUAAUGAAUGGAUUUAGAGUAGAAAUAUGAUUUCUUUCGUUUGAGGAACGAAUUAGACAGAAAUCAAUUUCUACUUGGUGUGAUAAUGAAUUACUUUUUCGGAAUUACAAGGUUUUCAUUCGAAUACCUGGUGUAUAUCACGUGGUUCUUUAGAACCGGUCUCGUUAGCAAGGCUAUAUAAGAGGUGAAUAGUGGUUUAAAUACCAGUUUAGGACGACACGUAGAGCACGAUAAAGUUUAAAUUUUAUCAUGAUUUAUUCAAUCCAACAUAAACUUGUAUAUACAAAUUGAUUUUCAUAUUUUGCAUAUGUUAUGUACACUGCACAAAUAAAGCUACUGCGUGUCGUUGCUAUGUCCAAA